UGCGUAGGCGGGAUAUUAAGUCAGUGGUGAAAUCCUGCGGCUCAACCGUAGAACUGCCAUUGAUACUGAUAUUCUUGAAUGUAGUUGAGGUAGGCGGAAUGUGUAAUGUAGCGGUGAAAUGCUUAGAUAUUACACAGAACACCGAUUGCGAAGGCAGCUUACUAAACUAUGAUUGACGCUGACGCACGAAAGCGUGGGGAGCGAACAGGAUUAGAUACCCUGGUAGUCC
rnacentral:rRNA from 1 species